rnacentral:lncRNA from 13 species
CUAUCAUGUCGUCUGCAAAUAGAGACAAUUUGGCUUCCACCUUUCCUAUUUGAAUACCCUUUAUUUCUUUUUCUUGCCUGAUUGCUCUGGCUAGAACUUCCAGUACUAUAUUGAAUAGGAGUGGUGAGAGAGGGCAUCCUUGUCUAGCUAGAUGGAUUCAAGACUUAAACAUAAGACCUGGCACCAUAAAAACCCUAGAAGGAAAUCUAGGCAAAACUAUCCAGGACAUAGGAGUAGGCAGGACUUCAUGACCAAAACACCAAAAGCAUUGGCAACAAAAGCCAAAAUAGACAAAUGGGACCUAACUCCAGAUGGAUUAAAGACUUAAACAUAAGACCUGGCACCAUAAAAACCCUAGAAGGAAAUCUAGGCAAAACUAUCCAGGACAUAGGAGUAGGCAAGGACUUUAUGAACAAAACACCAAAAGCAUUGG